AGUGAACGCUGGCGGUAGGCCUAACACAUGCAAGUCGAACGGCAGCACAGGAGAGCUUGCUCUCUGGGUGGCGAGUGGCGGACGGGUGAGGAAUACAUCGGAAUCUACUCUGUCGUGGGGGAUAACGUAGGGAAACUUACGCUAAUACCGCAUACGACCUACGGGUGAAAGCAGGGGAUCUUCGGACCUUGCGCGAUUGAAUGAGCCGAUGUCGGAUUAGCGAGUUGGCGGGGGAAAGGCCCACCAAGGCGACGAUCCGUAGCUGGUCUGAGGGGAUGAUCAGCCACACUGGAACUGAGACACGGGCCAGACUCCUACGGGAGGCAGCAGUGGGGAAUAGUGGAUAAUGGGCGCAAGCCUGAUCCAGCCAUACCGCGUGGGUGAAGAAGGCCGUCGGGUUGUAAAGCCCUUUUGUUGGGAAAGAAAUCCAGCUGGCUAAUACCCGGUUGGGAUGACGGUACCCAAAGAAUAAGCACCGGCUAACUGCGUGCCAGCCGCCGCCGUAA
rnacentral:rRNA from 1 species